rnacentral:rRNA from 1 species
UACAGAGGUCUCAAGCGUUGUUCGGAUUCAUUGGGCGUAAAGGGUGUGUAGGUGGCGCCGUAAGUCGGGUGUGAAAUCUCGGGGCUUAACUCCGAAACUGCAUUCGAUACUGCGGUGCUUGAGGACUGGAGAGGAGACUGGAAUUCAUGGUGUAGCAGUGAAAAUGCGUAGAGAUCAUGAGGAAGACCAGUGGCGAAGGCGGGUCUCUGGACAGUUCCUGACACUGAGACACGAAGGCCAGGGGAGCAAACGGG